GUAUCCCUGUUUCGUUUACUGCCU
rnacentral:siRNA from 1 species